AGAGGUCCCGGGAAACAUUUGACUUAAGCUCGUACUCUGCUGCACCUUAGCUGAGUGCAAUCAAGAGACGUUAUUCAGGAACCCCUCAGCUACCCCCCACUAACCCAUCGCCAAAGUGGGGAUACUGCUAAAUCUGAACCGGAAACUGGUUCUCACGUGGUGUUCACUAUCGAAGAGAUUGAAGAUCCUGUGUCGGACUACUUAAG